CUCAUCACCAUAAGCCUUCUUGGAAAUCUUCUCGUGGAGCAACUUAGCCUCUGUUUUUGCGAGGGUCAUGCUCACCUCAUCCCCCUCGUAUCGGUAUGAGCACACAAGAGGAAACAAAAGCUUGCGGAAGUCCCCAGUUGUGUGAUGUGCAACAUCCUCUUCAAGGGACUUCUUAAAGCGAGCAUGAUACGCCUGUCUUGCCUGAAGCAAUUCAUUUGAAGACCUUGUGCAGGCGAUUUCCAUAAGAACCUGAUUGCUUGAUGUCCAUCUCUUAGUUGCCUCAUUAGCUAAAAAUGCAUCGCGUUCAGCAG
rnacentral:misc_RNA from 1 species